AUGGAGGACGAGGAGAUGGAGAGGAAGGUGCAGCAGUACCUGCACCGCAAGGGCUUCCGCCUCACCGAGCUCGCGCUGCAGGAGGAGCGCAACCGCCUCUCCACCACCUCCCUCUCCGACGUCUCGCUCUCCAGGCCGGAUAACGACCCAGCAAGAUACUAUGAUGGCUACAACAAGCUAAGAUCAUGGGCAUACAAUUCUCUGGACCAAUACAAGCAUGAAUUACUCCGUGUCCUUUAUCCAGCGUUUAUCCAUUGCUUCAUGGAUCUAGUGUCAGAGGGGCAUACACUAGAAGCUCGGGCAUUUUUCCUUAAAUUUCGGGAAGAUCAUGAACUGAUGCAUUCAAGGGAUCUCCAAAAGCUGGAAGGCACUCUUUCUCCUUUGCAUUUGGAGGAAAUGGAUCUGGCCCGAUCUUUAAGGGAAAAUAAAUUCAGAAUUAAAUUAUGUGAGUAUUCAUAUGAAUUACUUCUCCAGUAUCUCCAGAAAACACAAGCUCUUGUGAUGCUUGGAAUAAUCAAUGAAAGGAUAAUUUUUGAAGUGUCCGCUGGGCAGCCUUCAUUGAUCUCUGAUGAUGCGGAUGUUGUUGCUCUGGUUGGAACCAGCAAGGACUUGGCAAAACAGAUAAAUCAGAAGGAAGUGCAUUGGGGGUUGCUUGAAGAUUCAGUUGAGGAGCGUAUGGAGAAAGCACUCUCAGAUUCUGAUAGAGCUGAAGCAGAAAGCAAGGAUGCAGAUGCAGAAGAUAAUAACAAGAAAAAAUCCUCAGAAGGUGGAAAGCAGGGUGGUCCUCUGAACAAAAAGCUCAAAAAGGAUAAGCUUGUAGGUGCAACAGGGAAAAAUACCAAAUCCGAAACAAGCAUGAUUUCUGCGGCACCUCGUGUGAAACCGGAGCUAACCCUUCCAGCGACGCCUGUUGAAGUUGAACAAUCAAUUCUUGAGGACCUGCGAAACCGUGCACAAUUGAAUAACUUGGCAUUGCCAUCUGUUAGCUUCUACACAUUCCUUAAUACACAUAACGGAUUAAACUGCUCAUCGAUCUCAAACGAUGGAUCUAUGGUUGUUGGUGGGUUCUCAGACUCGUCAGUAAAGGUUUGGGAUAUGGCAAAGAUUGGUCAACCAGCAAAAACAUCUAAUUCACAAGGAGAGAAUGGAUCUUCACAGGACGAGCGCUUGUCAUCAACAUCUGAGGGGAAAAGACCGUAUACAUUAUUCCAAGGUCAUUCUGGACCAGUUUAUUCCGCUGCCUUUAGUCCAUUUGGAGAUUUUCUCCUGUCAUCAUCUUCAGAUUCAACAAUUCGGCUGUGGAGUACCAAGCUGAAUGCCAAUCUUGUUUGUUACAAAGGACACAAUUACCCAGUUUGGGAUGUCCAAUUUAGUCCAGUCGGCCAUUAUUUUGCCAGUGCCUCGCAUGACAGGACUGCUCGAAUCUGGUCAAUGGAUAAAAUCCAACCUUUGCGGAUAAUGGCUGGGCAUCUUGCUGAUGUUGAUUGUGUGCAGUGGCAUGUAAACUGUAACUACAUUGCCACCGGCUCUAGUGACAAAACUGUAAGGCUAUGGGAUGUUCAAACUGGUGAAUGUAUACGAAUGUUCAUUGGUCAUAGGAGUAUGGUCUUAUCACUGGCAAUGUCUCCUGAUGGGCGAUACAUGGCCUCCGGAGACGAAGAUGGGACCAUCAUGAUGUGGGAUCUCUCUACUGGUCGCUGCGUUUCACCACUAGCGGGACACAACUCUUGUGUGUGGUCACUUGCUUUCAGCUGCGAGGGAGCAUUGCUUGCAUCUGGAUCGGCUGAUUGCACUGUUAAACUCUGGGAUGUUGCGUCCAGCACAAAGGCCCUGAAGAUGGAUGACACCAAGGCUGGUUCUACGAACCGACUGAGGCUGCUGAAAGCUCUCCCUACAAAAUCGACUCCUGUUUAUAACUUGCGGUUUUCUCGGAGGAAUCUUUUGUUUGCAUCUGGCGCUCUCUCGCUAUAG
rnacentral:rRNA from 1 species